CCAGGACAAUGUUCACAGUCUGGACACAGAGACAUGGAAGGACGUGGAAGUCGUUCACAUAGACAUCGCUGACCGGACCCAGGUGUCCGAGGAGGAUUACAAAGCAGACGAAGAUCCGGCUCUUUUCACAUCCGUGAAGACGGGGCGAGGGCCACUCGGUCCAGACUGGAAGGUACCUGCUGCCUAGUGGCUUAGAGCAGCGAGAGAG